AUUGAACGCUGGCGGCAUGCUUUACACAUGCGAGUCGAACGGUAACAGGCCUUCGGGUGCUGACGAGUGGCGAACGGGUGAGUAAUGCAUCGGAACGUACCCAGAGGUGGGGGAUAACGCAGCGAAAGCUGUGCUAAUACCGCAUGUGAUCUGAGGAUGAAGGCGGGGGACCGAGCAGCAAUGUUUGGCCUCGCGCCUUUGGAGCGGCCGAUGUCGGAUUAGCUAGUUGGUGGGGUAAAGGCCUACCAAGGCGACGAUCCGUAGCUGGUCUGAGAGGACGACCAGCCACACUGGGACUGAGACACGGCCCAGACUCCUACGGGAGGCAGCAGUGGGGAAUUUUGGACAAUGGGCGCAAGCCUGAUCCAGCAAUGCCGCGUGCGGGAAGAAGGCCUUCGGGUUGUAAACCGCUUUUGGCAGGAACGAAACGGUGUCCGCUAAUACCGGGCGCUAAUGACGGUACCUGCAGAAUAAGCACCGGCUAGCUACGUG
rnacentral:rRNA from 1 species